AGCAUAAAAAUCAUUGGUUGCUGUUUUAAAGCUUUGAAAUCCAACUAGAGGUGCCACAGUUGGUCUAGAUUGAGCUGUAAUUUACUCUGGAAUUGUGGGAAUAAUAUGUAAAUUUGACUUUCCCUGAAAGCAGACUAUUAUAAACUACAGAAGAAUAGAGAGAGAAAAGAACCAUGUCAUAAUGUCACAGAUAUCAUUUACUUUUGACUUGUUAUGGAGAAAAUGUAUAUUUUUUCUCCAUUUAAUACUGUAAAUUUGGAAAUG
rnacentral:lncRNA from 1 species